GUCUGCUGAUGUGUGCAUAGGCGAAGAUAUCUCUGGAGGAAAAGUAGUGAUCAGCGUUUCAUACUUUGGGAUUCGUGUCCAUACCGAAACUCAUGACCUCUGCGAGGAGACGGCCUGUCCGGUUGCACCAGGCAACUUUGUGCUUUCUCAUUCUCAAACUCUCCCCUCAAUUACGCCGCCUGGCACUUACACGCUAAAGAUGACGAUAAACGACAAGAGCGGCGGAAGACUAACGUGCAUCAGCUUCAAAUUCAAGAUCACAUUAAAAUCCGCGGUCUUUGCUAGUUAAGUUUUAUGGUGUAAAUACGUUGACGUCUUUGUGAAUCUCUCUGUGUUUACUUUUGUGGUGUCUAAAUAGAGAAUCUGCGCUUUUGAGACUUGA